GAUGAACGCUGGCGGCGUGCCUAAUACAUGCAAGUCGAGCGAACAGACGAGGAGCUUGCUCCUUUGACGUUAGCGGCGGACGGGUGAGUAACACGUGGAUAACCUACCUAUAAGACUGGGAUAACUUCGGGAAACCGGAGCUAAUACCGGAUAACAUGUUGAACCGCAUGGUUCAACAGUGAAAGACGGUCUUGAUGUCACUUAUACAUGUAUCCGCGCCGCAUUAGCUAGUUGGUAAGGUAACGGCUUACCAAGGCAACGAUGCGUAGCCGACCUGAGAGGGUGAUCAGCCACACUGGAACUGAGACACGGUCCAGACUCCUACGGGAGGCAGCAGUAGGGAAUAUUCCACAAUGGGCGAAAGCCUGACGCAGCAACGCCGCGUGAGUGAAGAAGGUCUUCGGAUUGUAAAACUCUGUUAGUAGGGAAGAAGGAAUGUGUAAGUAAAUAUGGACGUCUUGACGGUACCUAAACAAAAAGCCACGGCUAACUACGUG
rnacentral:rRNA from 1 species